rnacentral:rRNA from 1 species
GACGAACCGUGCGAACGUUAUUCGGAAUCACUGGGCUUAAAGAGCGUGUAGGCGGCCAGGUAGGUCUGCUGUGAAAACUCGAGGCUCAACCUCGAGACGUCGGCGGAAACCAUCUGGCUAGAGUCCGGAAGAGGAGAGUGGAAUUCCUGGUGUAGCGGUGAAAUGCGCAGAUAUCAGGAAGAACCCCCGUGGCGAAGGCGGCUCUCUGGGACGGUACUGACGCUGAGACGCGAAAGCGUGGGGAGCGAACAGG